ensembl:lncRNA
GGACUGGGGAAAGCAAGGAGUCAUCAUGUCAGGUAGUCCUGGGGCAUGGUCCUAGGGCUCAGGUCCUCCGAGAGAGAGAAAGAAAGAGAGAAGGAGAGAAUUAGAGAACGCACACUUAGAUUCACACAGGACACCGAAUAGGACAGGAGAAGUACUCCAGAUAUAACAAACUGACCCUAGCCCCCCGACACAUAAACUACUGCAGCAUAAAUACUGGAGGCUGAGACAGGAGGGUUCAGGAGACACUGUGGCCCCAUCCGAUGAUACCCCCGGACAGGGCCAAACAGGAAGGAUAUAACCCCACCCACUUUGCCAAAGCAUAGCCCCCAUACCACUAGAGGGAUAGCUUCAACCACCAUCCUGAGACAAGGCCGAGUAUAGACCACAAAGAUCUCCG